UAUGUGAACAUAUGUCAGCAAGGCUUGAAGCAGAGAACUUGGGGAAUUGGAGGCACUGGAAAUCACUGGGGUGUGUUUCUUUUAAGGGACUGGGAGGAAAGCCAAAAGGAUGCUGAGGAAGCAGUUCUGGAGGACAAACUGCAGGUUCUGGCAUUGCAGUGAACAUGGAAAACUCAGUUCAGUCUCCACCUUUCUAUGGUUCAGAACCAACAAGAUCAAGAGGAACAAGCACUUCAGCCACCCUAAUUCAUACAAACUAGAGGCAUCAGGCUGAACAGACCAUUGAUUUGAUUUCCUGCCUCAUUUCUUGGCUUUAAGGAUGCCUGAUCCAUACCCAAGGGAUUUGCACAGAUAAAUCAUCUUUCUAGUCCAUUUAGAGAAGGAGAAAAGAAGGAGGGGGAAAAUGAAAGACCAGUUUAUUUUUUUGGAGCUUCUGGGGUGAGUUUGUCUUUUUGUGUACAUUGAUUUUUGGCGAUGU
rnacentral:lncRNA from 1 species